rnacentral:rRNA from 1 species
GACAGAGGGUGCAAACGUUGUUCGGAAUUACUGGGCGUAAAGCGUGCGCAGGCGGUUAUGUAAGACAGUUGUGAAAUCCCCGGGCUCAACCUGGGAACUGCAUCUGUGACUGCAUAGCUAGAGUACGGUAGAGGGGGAUGGAAUUCCGCGUGUAGCAGUGAAAUGCGUAGAUAUGCGGAGGAACACCGAUGGCGAAGGCAAUCCCCUGGACCUGUACUGACGCUCAUGCACGAAAGCGUGGGGAGCAAACAGG